rnacentral:lncRNA from 1 species
AUUGAGAAUAUGAUAUGAGAAAUAAACUCUGUGGGAAUUAUGGAAACUACUUAUAGUGAAAAUUUUACUUAGGAUCAAAUGAAGUAAGAUGAAAAGACUUGUUGGGGAAAAAUAAGAUAUAUUAUGGAGACUAGUCAUAACAAUCAAGGAAUAUCCUUGUAAUAACAAGGGACAAACCCCGAAAAGAUAUUAGGGACAUCCAGAAAAGCAUUGGACGCAAAAGGGAACCAUACUCUAGACAAUACAUCAGAAGAAUCUAGGAAAGCAUUGGAUGGAAAAGAAACCAAAUUGAAGAUACAUCAGGGACAUUC